rnacentral:rRNA from 1 species
AUUGAACGCUGGCGGCAUGCCUUACACAUGCAAGUCGAACGGUAACAGGUCUUCGGAUGCUGACGAGUGGCGAACGGGUGAGUAAUACAUCGGAACGUGCCUAGUAGUGGGGGAUAACUACUCGAAAGAGUGGCUAAUACCGCAUGAGAUCUACGGAUGAAAGCAGAGGAUCGCAAGACCUUGUGCUACUAGAGCGGCCGAUGGCAGAUUAGGUAGUUGGUGGGAUAAAAGCUUACCAAGCCGACGAUCUGUAGCUGGUCUGAGAGGACGAUCAGCCACACUGGGACUGAGAAACGGCCCAGACUCCUACGGGAGGCAGCAGUGGGGAAUUUUGGACAAUGGGCGCAAGCCUGAUCCAGCAAUGCCGCGUGCAGGAUGAAGGCCUUCGGGUUGUAAACUGCUUUUGUACGGAACGAAAAGCCCUGGGUUAAUACCCUGGGGUCAUGACGGUACCGUAAGAAUAAGCACCGGCUAACUACGUGCCAGCCGCCGCGGUAAGAC